rnacentral:rRNA from 1 species
UUGAUCCUGGCUCAGGACGAACGCUGGCGGCGUGCCUAAUACAUGCAAGUCGAACGCUUUUUCUUUCACCGGAGCUUGCUCCACCGAAAGAAAAAGAGUGGCGAACGGGUGAGUAACACGUGGGUAACCUGCCCAUCAGAAGGGGAUAACACUUGGAAACAGGUGCUAAUACCGUAUAACACUAUUUUCCGCAUGGAAGAAAGUUGAAAGGCGCUUUUGCGUCACUGAUGGAUGGACCCGCGGUGCAUUAGCUAGUUGGUGAGGUAACGGCUCACCAAGGCAACGAUGCAUAGCCGACCUGAGAGGGUGAUCGGCCACACUGGGACUGAGACACGGCCCAGACUCCUACGGGAGGCAGCAGUAGGGAAUCUUCGGCAAUGGACGAAAGUCUGACCGAGCAACGCCGCGUGAGUGAAGAAGGUUUUCGGAUCGUAAAACUCUGUUGUUAGAGAAGAACAAGGAUGAGAGUAAAAUGUUCAUCCCUUGACGGUAUCUAACCAGAAAGCCACGGCUAACUACGUGCCAGCAGCCGCGGUAAUACGUAGGUGGCAAGCGUUGUCCGGAUUUAUUGGGCGUAAAGCGAGCGCAGGCGGUUUCUUAAGUCUGAUGUGAAAGCCCCCGGCUCAACCGGGGAGGGUCAUUGGAAACUGGGAGACUUGAGUGCAGAAGAGGAGAGUGGAAUUCCAUGUGUAGCGGUGAAAUGCGUAGAUAUAUGGAGGAACACCAGUGGCGAAGGCGGCUCUCUGGUCUGUAACUGACGCUGAGGCUCGAAAGCGUGGGGAGCGAACAGGAUUAGAAUACCCUGGGUAGUCCAA